rnacentral:rRNA from 1 species
CAGCAGCCGCGGUAAUACAGAGGGUGCGAGCGUUAAUCGGAUUUACUGGGCGUAAAGCGUGCGCAGGCGGUUAUAUAAGACAGAUGUGAAAUCCCCGGGCUCAACCUGGGAACUGCAUUUGUGACUGUAUAGCUAGAGUACGGCAGAGGGGGAUGGAAUUCCGCGUGUAGCAGUGAAAUGCGUAGAUAUGCGGAGGAACACCGAUGGCGAAGGCAAUCCCCUGGGCCUGUACUGACGCUCAUGCACGAAAGCGUGGGGAGCAAACAGGAUUAGAUACCCCCGUAGUCCCUGUCUCUUAUAC